rnacentral:ncRNA from 2 species
AUAUUAUUCAUAUAGAUAUCUCGUAUAAGUCUGGGAAUAUGGCCCGGAAGUCUCUACCUGAACACCGUUAAUGUUCGGACUACGAGGGAAUACUACCUAAAC